GAUGAACGCUAGCGGCAGGCUUAAUACAUGCAAGUCGAGGGGCAGCACGAAUAGCAAUAUUUGGUGGCGAACCGGCGCACGGGUGCGUAACACGUAUACAACCUACCUAUAACAGGGGGAUAGCCUUUCGAAAGAGAGAUUAAUACCCCGUAAUAAAUUGAAUGGCAUCAUUUGAUUUUGAAAGCUACGGCGGUUAUAGAUGGGUAUGCGUCUGAUUAGCUAGUUGGUGAGGUAAUGGCUCACCAAGGCGACGAUCAGUAGGGGAUCUGAGAGGACUAACCCCCACACUGGUACUGAGACACGGACCAGACUCCUACGGGAGGCAGCAGUAAGGAAUAUUGGUCAAUGGAGGCAACUCUGAACCAGCCAUGCCGCGUGCAGGAUGACGGCCCUAUGGGUUGUAAACUGCUUUUGACCAGAGAAAACCUUCUACGUGUAGAUAGACUGAUAGUAUGGUAAGAUAAGCAUCGGCUAACUUCGUGCC
rnacentral:rRNA from 1 species